rnacentral:tRNA from 7 species
GCGGGUGUAGCUCAGUUGGUUAGAGCGCCAGGUUGUGGUCCUGGAUGUCGUCGGUUCGAAUCCGAUCACUCGCCCCA